rnacentral:rRNA from 1 species
UACGUAGGGUGCGAGCGUUAAUCGGAAUUACUGGGCGUAAAGCGUGCGCAGGCGGUUCUGUAAGUCAGCUGUGAAAGCCCCGGGCUUAACCUGGGAAUUGCGGUUGAAACUACAGGGCUAGAAUCUGGCAGAGGGGGGUGGAAUUCCACGUGUAGCAGUGAAAUGCGUAGAGAUGUGGAGGAACACCGAUGGCGAAGGCGGUGCUCUGGGCCGAAACUGACGCUGAGGAGCGAAGGCGUGGGUAGCAAACAGG